rnacentral:rRNA from 1 species
UACGUAGGGUGCGAGCGUUGUCCGGAAUUAUUGGGCGUAAAGAGCUCGUAGGCGGCUUGUUGCGUCGGAUGUGAAAGCCCGGGGCUUAACUCCGGGUCUGCAUUCGAUACGGGCAGGCUAGAGUUCGGUAGGGGAGAUCGGAAUUCCUGGUGUAGCGGUGAAAUGCGCAGAUAUCAGGAGGAACACCGGUGGCGAAGGCGGAUCUCUGGGCCGAUACUGACGCUGAGGAGCGAAAGCGUGGGGGAGCGAACAGG